UUACCAUCUUUCGGGUCCUAUCGCACGCGCUCAUGCUCCACCUCCCCGACGGCGCGGGCGAGACGGGCCGGUGGUGCGCCCGGCGCGGAGAGACGCACAGGGGCGCGGCGGUGGGGACCGGAGG